AGCUUCUUUACAGUGCUGCCUUGUUGCGUUCAUGUCAAGCAGCAUUGUACAGGGCUAUGA
rnacentral:pre_miRNA from 2 species